rnacentral:rRNA from 1 species
CCAGUAACGGCGAGUGAAGCGGCAACAGCUCAAAUUUGAAAUCUGGCCUCGGCCCGAGUUGUAAUUUGUAGAGGAAGCUUCUGGUGCGGUCUGUUCCGAGUCCCCUGGAACGGGGCGCCAUAGAGGGUGAGAGCCCCGUACGGACGGAUACCAAUCCUGUGUGAAGCUCCUUCGACGAGUCGAGUAGUUUGGGAAUGCUGCUCAAAAUGGGAGGUAAAUUCCUUCUAAAGCUAAAUACCGGCCAGAGACCGAUAGCGCACAAGUAGAGUGAUCGAAAGAUGAAAAGCACUUUGAAAAGAGGGUUAAACAGCACGUGAAAUUGUUGAAAGGGAAGCGCUUAUGACCAGACUUGCGCCAGGCUGAUCAUCCGGUGUUCUCACCGGUGCACUCUGCCUGGCUCAGGCCAGCAUCGGUUUCCGCGGGGGGAUAAAGGUCCCGGGAAUGUAGCUCCUCCGGGAGUGUUAUAGCCCGGGGCGCAAUGCCCUCGUGGGGACCGAGGUUCGCGCAUCUGCAAGGAUGCUGGCGUAAUGGUCAUCAGCGACCCGUCUUGAAACACGGACCAAGGAGUCAAGGUUUUGCGCGAGUGUUUGGGUGUUAAACCCGCACGCGUAAUGAAAGUGAACGUAGGUGAGAGCUUCGGCGCAUCAUCGACCGAUCCUGAUGUAUUCGGAUGGAUUUGAGUAGGAGCGUUAAGCCUUGGACCCGAAAGAUGGUGAACUAUGCUUGGAUAGGGUGAAGCCAGAGGAAACUCUGGUGGAGGCUCGCAGCGGUUCUGACGUGCAAAUCGAUCGUCAAAUCUGAGCAUGGGGGCGAAAGACUAAUCGAACCAUCUAGUAGCUGGUUACCGC